rnacentral:pre_miRNA from 1 species
ACGUUUACCACGACGACGACGAGCACGACAAGUCGGUGGGCGGCUUCAUGCUCAGGUCGGCGCAGACCCGCGUCGAGCCGGCGGCGGCGGCCAACAGCCAGGUUUAACCAAUCAUGCAUGCCGGGGCAAUUCACAAGAAAUCCAGUGGAAAUUCGUUCGCCUUUCAGUUUUCGCGCGCGCGUCAUGUCGUGAUCCGAUC